AUUGCCUCUUGACAACAAACCACAAUAAGAGGUACAUCCUGCCCAAUGAAAUAUAUUUUUGAAUGGCCGCGGUACCCUAACCGUGCUAAGGUAGCAUAAUCAUUUGCCUCCUAAUUAGAGGCUAGUAUGAAUGGACAAACGAGGGCGAGACUGUUUCUUAUAGAAAAAUAAAAAUUUAUCUCUAGGUGAAAAAGCCUAGAUAGUAUUAAAAGACAAAAAGACCCUGCAGAGCUUCAUACUAACAAAUAACUUAAAUUAAUAUGUAUUUUGUUGGGGCGACAAAGGAUUAAAAAAAACAUCCUUAAAAAUAAAGGACUACACUCCUCACAUAAGAUCCUUAAACAAGAUCAAAGACAAAAGCUACCUCAGGGAUAACAGGCUUAUCUUUCUAGAGAGCUCAUAUCGACAGAAAGCUUUGGCACCUCGAUGUUGGCUUAGGGUCCCUGGUGGUGCAGCAGCCAUCAAUGGUGGGUUUGUUCAACCUUUAAAACCCUACGUGAUCU
rnacentral:rRNA from 1 species